rnacentral:pre_miRNA from 2 species
UCUCUGGUGUAGGGAGAUCACCUCAGGCAUACAGUAUUGUCAGGUGCAUGUAGCCAGACCUGAUCUCCCUGCAGCAGCUG